ensembl:rRNA 5S_rRNA 5S ribosomal RNA
GCUUACGGCCACACCACGCAGGGCACGCCCGAUCUCGUCUGAUCUCGGAAGCCAAUCUGCGUCGGGCCUGGUUAGUACUUGGACGGAAGACCGCCUGGGAAUACCAGGUGCUGUAAGCN